GAUGAACGCUGGCGGCGUGCCUAAUACAUGCAAGUCGAGCGAACGGACGAGAAGCUUGCUUCUCUGAUGUUAGCGGCGGACGGGUGAGUAACACGUGGAUAACCUACCUAUAAGACUGGUAUAACUUCGGGAAACCGGAGCUAAUACCGGAUAAUAUUUUGAACCGCAUGGUUCAAAAGUGAAAGACGGUCUUGCUGUCACUUAUAGAUGGAUCCGCGCUGCAUUAGCUAGUUGGUAAGGUAACGGCUUACCAAGGCAACGAUGCAUAGCCGACCUGAGAGGGUGAUCGGCCACACUGGAACUGAGACACGGUCCAGACUCCUACGGGAGGCAGCAGUAGGGAAUCUUCCGCAAUGGGCGAAAGCCUGACGGAGCAACGCCGCGUGAGUGAUGAAGGUCUUCGGAUCGUAAAACUCUGUUAUUAGGGAAGAACAUAUGUGUAAGUAACUGUGCACAUCGUGACGGUACCUAAUCAGAAAGCCACGGCUAACUACGUG
rnacentral:rRNA from 1 species